GUUAAUUUUCUUUCCCGUUGCAACGCACGGGCAUUUGUGCUAGUCUAAUCUAAACAUGGAGGUGCUCAUGGUUACCUAGUUUCUUCUUUAAAGAAGUCUGAGGUUGUGAUGGUGCGUUUGUAGGUCAUCGUUGGCUUCGUUCGCCUCCCACCCUCAAUUGAUUUUUUUUCUCCCCUAACCACUUAAAUAUCCCCCUCGCCACCGACUUUUAUUCCCCACGGGCCGAACCGUGGACAGAAAACCAGAAAAAACAAAAAACAAAAACUACGCACUUCCUCCCUCCCGGCUCCCACAAUCCCUAGGCUCCCUCAUCUACCCUUCUCCCCCCACAGCCGCCGCCACACCUCAGUCCCCGGCCGCUCCCUCCAUCCAUCCUCCCCUAUCGCUGCUCCCUAGCCGAGUGUCGCUAGAUCCAUCUCACCAAUUCCUGCCGUCGCCAUCGUCCUCUGCUCGAUCACGCCAGCUUUCACGAUUUGGGUGCCUCUCCUAGGAGGAGUCGGCAUGUCGUACUCAUCGCAGGUGGCAGCGGCUCUUAGCAAGGGCUCAUUCGGAAGAGCAGGUGGCGCGUACAAGGUCGCGUGGAGGUCCAAUGACCCGAACUUCGCGUCCACCUGUCAGAUAGGGUAUCAAUUUUCGAUCCAGGCGAUCGAUCGAGUCUGUUGUUGAUUUGUCUCGAGGUAUAGUGGGUGCGUGCGUUCGUUUUUUGGUUGUUCCUUGGAGAUUUGAUAGAGAACAAGUGAAGCAACAGAUCCUGUGAUCAGAAAUAUAUGAUCAUGUUAUUACAGAUAUAUGAUCUUGUUAUUAGAAAUAUAUGAUCCCGGGGCUAAUUUUUAAUCUGUCAAUUAUGACUUGUUAGUAGGAUGCUGUUUGCAGAAUUUAGGUUAUAUUUUUUGUUGUGAUCCAUUGGGAGGCAUACAGGUGCUUAGAUUUUGAUAUUUUCAGUUUGUUUCACUAAUGUUUAGUUCAGAUGUUCAUAAUUUUUCAGUUUGUUUCAAAGCUGUAUCGUUCAGGUUCUGAAGUUUUGUGUACGAUUUAUAGAAGAUGCUAUGUAAGAUGAUGGCAAGGUUUAGUUAUCUGAAAACAUACCAUGUAUGUACACGUGAAGGUCAGCAUGGUUCAAUGAUGUAUGGAAUUUGAACAAAAAAAAACAUCCCAUUACUACCAAGGAGGCAAGGACCUACAAUAAAGCUCAAUCUGCACAAGGUAAAAAUCAAAGUGGACUUCACCCCUUGAUCAUUUCCAAAAUUUCUGUAAUGAGAUGUAUAAGACUUCCUUAUUUGUUUGAUUUUCUAUACACCCAGGGGGUGUGUCAAUUUGGUUUGCCAUAGGCCUUCAUCACUUUGCUAUUUGAUUCACGUGCUCCUUUUAGACGGAGGUGAAGUGCUCAGAUUUAGAGAUUGGUUAUUCCUAUUUUGUUCACUUCCUAAUUUGCAAGAAACAUGAACAGUCUCUACAAUGUAUUGUUUUGUUAUUCUCAUUUGUAAGCACAAAUAUGUGUAUCAUCAAAUAUAUUCGAGAUGACAACCAAGGCUACUUAAGCAUUAACAUUUGUAUAGACAGUAUGCGUUAAAACAAUGAGUACCAGCAAUAAUUGCAGCCUUUUAUUUCUAGAGUCACAAAUAAGCUUUAUUUGAAAUGUUCAUAUAUUUAUCUCAAUUGAAGUCACAAAAUAACCUGAUUAUUUUGUCUUCUAUAUUAUCUGUUUUUCAGCCAGCAUGUUCUAACACUGAAUUUCUUAGAUAAUUUGGUGACGGAUCAGAUAGAGAGAUGGUGGAGAUCCAAACCUUACAUGGCUAUAUUAUUGUAGCAGCAAUGCUACGAGUAGAUGGCAUGCACUUGACUAUUUUUCUUUUUCGUGCACCUGGAAGCAUGUCCUGCCUCUGCCUCGACUCAGGCGCAUCCCUCACUGACAACUCCCAACUCCCGGUAAUCGACACCCCCACAUGAUGCUUUCUUUGUCCCCAUAAAGUAAUCUGUGCCUCCACCGCCCUUAUAUUUCCCUUGAUCUAUUAGCUUGUCGAUUCAGUUCUCUAUUUUCAGCAUAUUUGUCUUGUUCAACAUGUCAUUUAGGUUUUGAUUUUUCUUUGAAGACUUAUUAUAGGACCUCUAGAUUUUGAUCAUACACGAAAAUUUGUCAGGUUGCAGAAGUUCUUGAUUUUAUGGUACAACCAAAUAGCUGUGCCGAGUUGAAUUCUGCUUAUGCAACAUCUUUGUGUUUGCAGAAAAACAUGGUGUUGAUAAAAAAAUUCAAUUAUUAAUUCUUAAUAUGUUUGUGGAUUCCAUAUUGUGGAUGUGAAUUAUAUUACAUUCUCACGAAAACCUUUUAUUCCUGCUCUCUGAUCAUAAUACUACGAUCACGCCGAUGAGGGAUUGUUCUGUGGUGGUCAUCUGGCCCUGGUUUGUGCUAUGAUUUCUUGUACUAUUGAGCUAUGAAUAGGCAGGAUUAACUCUGGUGUAGCUUGGUAAUUGCUUGUUAUUACACCAUGGUUUGGGUUGUUGCUAUCUGAAUGUGCCAUUGGUUGAACCUAGGGCAUGUUUUCAAACUAUAUGGUGGUAGGUUCUGUUUGUUUUGAAUUUUGAUAAUAAUAGGAGGGCACUUGCUUGGCCUGAUUAGUGGUCUUGUGGCAUACAUCUGAUGAUAAGUAGGCUCUACUUAGGGCUGCCUCUUUGUUUUCUAUAUAAUUGAUAAUGAACAAAUCUAUUUGGUCCUGCUCUAGGAUGGUUUAAUUUAAUUAGUGUUUCUCAACACAUCUGCCAUUCUGUGGUUCUAAACUUGACUCUUUAGCAGUGUUACUUGACUCUCUAUACUUAUCAGGUCAUGUUUUAAAGUGAUUUCUAGCUACUGUUUAUCUACACUUAUUGUGCAUUUCAUAUGGUGUCGAAUGUACAUGAUAGUCACUUAACUUCUGUUGACUUCCGCAUAUAUUUCUCCAGCAUGUAUAAGUAUAUAGCCCACACCAUGUGGGGCGAGGAUAUUGGCCCCUUCCAUUGUGUGGUGAAAUCUGAUUUGGCUUCUCUCCAACUCACUCAUUCAUGCAGAUUCUGGGUGCAAACCCCCAAUAAUACUUCCAUCUGCAGCAACAAACUCUGGUAGAGUUAACCCGUGUCAGCAUAUGGCAUGAAGCUUUGGAGUUUGCACAAAAGGUACUUGCACUAAGAGGUAAUUUCCAGUUAAAAUAUCUCCUCUAUUUUGGUUUAAGAACAUGUCAUGAUGUUACUUUUGAUUUGUAUAUAACUUGUGUUUUCUUUAAACAUGUGUUAGUCAAAAAGUAGUUGAUAAGACUUGUAGAGAAAAAUGGGUGUAUUUGGACCCAGAUGGAAACAUAUGCAGAUUUGGAGCAGGCUGACGUAGGAGCAGACUGGUGUCGCAAUGAUCAAAAGAGUUUAAGUGGAAGGGCUUGUGGAAGAAGAGAUGGAAUGACAACGAUGAUGCAACCUUGUCGUGUGAUUGUUGUAUGUAUAUUUGAGGUCCAUAGGAAAAGAAGUCUUAGUGAGGUAAAGUGAUGGAGACACAUCUUAGUUGGAGAUGGAAGGAGAACCCGGAGACAAAUAGAGCAUUAUUCGUAGUCAGUUUGGGAAUGAAGAUGUGGUGGAAAGAAUGUUUCCAUGUCAAUGUGCCCCCUUUUCUUAUUAUUUGUAAUAAGGUGAGGUGCAUUAUAUCUCAUCAUUUGUUGAUGGUGUUC